rnacentral:rRNA from 1 species
GUUUGAUCCUGGCUCAGGAUGAACGCUAGCGGCAGGCCUAACACAUGCAAGUCGAGGGGUAGAAGUCUUCGGGCUUUGAGACCGGCGCACGGGUGCGUAACGCGUAUGCAAUCUACCUUGUACUGAGGGAUAGCCCAGAGAAAUUUGGAUUAAUACCUCAUAGUAUUUUCGAGUGACAUCACUUGAUUAUUAAAGUUCCAACGGUACAAGAUGAGCAUGCGUCCCAUUAGCUAGUUGGUAUGGUAACGGCAUACCAAGGCUAUGAUGGGUAGGGGUCCUGAGAGGGAGAUCCCCCACACUGGUACUGAGACACGGACCAGACUCCUACGGGAGGCAGCAGUGAGGAAUAUUGGUCAAUGGGCGAGAGCCUGAACCAGCCAUGCCGCGUGCAGGAUGAAGCAUCUAUGGUGUGUAAACUGCUUUUGUACAGGAAGAAACCCCGCUACGUGUAGCGGCUUGACGGUACUGUAAGAAUAAGGAUCGGCUAACUCCGUGCCAGCAGCCGCGGUAAUACGGAGGAUCCAAGCGUUAUCCGGAAUCAUUGGGUUUAAAGGGUCCGUAGGCGGUUUUAUAAGUCAGUGGUGAAAUCCGGCAGCUCAACUGUCGAACUGCCAUUGAUACUGUAGGACUUGAAUUAUUGUGAAGUAACUAGAAUAUGUAGUGUAGCGGUGAAAUGCUUAGAUAUUACAUGGAAUACCGAUUGCGAAGGCAGGUUACUAACAAUAUAUUGACGCUGAUGGACGAAAGCGUGGGGAGCGAACAGGAUUAGAUACCCUGGUAGUCCACGCCGUAAACGAUGGAUACUAGCUGUUUGAACGCAAGUUUGAGUGGCUAAGCGAAAGUGAUAAGUAUCCCACCUGGGGAGUACGGGCGCAAGCCUGAAACUCAAAGGAAUUGACG